rnacentral:rRNA from 1 species
UACGUAGGGGGCAAGCGUUGUCCGGAAUCAUUGGGCGUAAAGCGCGCGUAGGCGGCCCGAUCAGUCCGCUGUAAAAGCCCAGGGCUCAACCCUGGAAAGCCGGUGGAUACUGUCGGGCUAGAGUCCGGAAGAGGCGAGUGGAAUUCCUGGUGUAGCGGUGGAAUGCGCAGAUAUCAGGAGGAACACCGAUAGCGAAGGCAGCUCGCUGGGACGGUACUGACGCUGAGGUGCGAAAGCGUGGGGAGCGAACAGG